GUCUGCCUUUCUGCCUACUUGUGAUCUCUGUCUGUCAAAUAAAUAAAUAAAAUCUUAAAAAAAAAACUGAUAUGAUUCAUUGAUAACCAUUACCAAAGUUCUAAAUAUAUUAUUACAUAUUUUAAAAUAUUUCUUUCUAUGUUAAAGGGAAAAAAAAAAAACAAACCUCAACACCACUUGCCAUGUGGUUUUAAUUUUAUCAGACUCUAGGAAUUUUGGAAACUGUCUUUGCCUCGAUGUUGGAAGAAAGUAUUUUUCCUACAACAGCCAAGUCUUUCAUACUUGAACUAUUGGAUCAGUCUCCCCUUGCACAGAGCCUCUUGCUACAAAAGAAAGAGUGGCAACUGUAGGAUUUACAAAAACGUUUGCAGUUUGCCUUGUUGAGCAAACUGCCUGCCUAGUAAUAGAAUGCAGGACUAAAAAUGGGUGCAUAUUUGACCAAACUCGCUGCCUAAAGAGGGCGUGGGUUUCGUGCCUCCCUGCCCUCCAAAACCAGUGUGGAUGUCUGUUCAAAGACAUCAUGUAAUUCUAUACAAUAUAGAAUGUACCAUAUAGGUACAUCAGGAAAACUCGCUGUCCAGUUUUUCUUCAGCAGGAGCGUCUGAGGAAAUAGACACUACAUGUGAAGCCCAGGAUAUACAUUUAUCUUUUCAGGAAUGGUUUCAUGUCUAUCCGUGGCUAAGCAUAUUAAAGUAUGAACCAGAAAACUCCAAAAGUCCACGAACAGUUCGUACCACACGCCCUGGGGAAUUGUCAGCCCGAAGUGGCUGGGUACCAGCGCGCUGGUUGUUUACUUUGUACUCGGAUUCAGAUGGGUACCAGGAGUGUAGACACUCCAACCUGAUUAAGGGGGCCCCCUUAGGGAAUCGAACCACCCAGGGGAGAGACACAGGGCUACCCCUCAAGGGAAGUAUACCUAGGCAGAUGAUAUUUAAAGUAUAAAAUACAGCAACAACUGCCCAAGACAGUAUAUAAUUAACUGUUAAAAUGUGUGGCUACAUUGGGCUGUAAAUGCUACUCAGAAGCAAAGAAGAGAAAUAUCAUGGGCUGGUACAAUUGGUGCCUUCCCUGCAGGCCUGCCCUGGCCGAGCCAUGCCUUCCUGAGCGUGGACCCUGUGUGCCUGGCCAGGAGCACGUUGGGGCUGGGGAUCAGUUCCCAUUGCCCCGGCUGGCUUAGGGCCUUGUGCCUUGAAUAAUCUGACAAGUGUCCAGGGUGACUGUGCUCCCUCAGCAUCCUUCCGUGUGGGACAUGCCGCCCCGCUCGCAGAGGACCUGUGUGUUUUCCUGCCAUUCACAUUUGGGAGCUCCCUUUUCACGGAACCCUUCUUUGCCCCUCUUCCUCUCCAGGUGCCUGCCUUUUCUUAUUUGCCUUCAUAGUUGUCUCUCUAACGUUAGCCUCUGUGUGCCUCCUGAGCGCCUGUCACAGUGCUGUGCACGGAGUAGGCGAUGAGAUAUUAAAUAGACUAGUUCACACCUCACACUUGUGCAUGAUGGGAAGGAUUAUGUCAG